GCCCAUCAAGCGCACGUGCCUGUGGUCGCCGGGCAGCCCUCACCCAACGGAUCGGUCGAGGGACGGCGGCUUAAAGCAACGACGGUUCGGGCUUCC
rnacentral:sRNA from 1 species